AGAGUUUGAUCCUGGCUCAGGAUGAACGCUAGCGACAGGCCUAACACAUGCAAGUCGAGGGGCAGCGGGGAGGUAGCAAUACCUUUGCCGGCGACCGGCGCACGGGUGAGUAACACGUAUGCAAUCCACCUGUAACAGGGGGAUAACCCGGAGAAAUCCGGACUAAUACCCCAUAAUAUGGGCGCUCCGCAUGGAGAGUUCAUUAAAGAGAGCAAUUUUGGUUACAGACGAGCAUGCGCUCCAUUAGCCAGUUGGCGGGGUAACGGCCCACCAAAGCGACGAUGGAUAGGGGUUCUGAGAGGAAGGUCCCCCACAUUGGAACUGAGACACGGUCCAAACUCCUACGGGAGGCAGCAGUGAGGAAUAUUGGUCAAUGGUCGGCAGACUGAACCAGCCAAGUCGCGUGAGGGAAGACGGCCCUACGGGUUGUAAACCUCUUUUGUCGGAGAGUAAAGUACGCUACGUGUAGCGUAUUGCAAGUAUCCGAAGAAAAAGCAUCGGCUAACUCCGUGCCAGCAGCCGCGGUAAUACGGAGGAUGCGAGCGUUAUCCGGAUUUAUUGGGUUUAAAGGGUGCGUAGGCGGCACGCCAAGUCAGCGGUGAAAUUUCCGGGCUCAACCCGGAGUGUGCCGUUGAAACUGGCGAGCUAGAGUACACAAGAGGCAGGCGGAAUGCGUGGUGUAGCGGUGAAAUGCAUAGAUAUCACGCAGAACCCCGAUUGCGAAGGCAGCCUGCUAGGGUGAAACAGACGCUGAGGCACGAAAGCGUGGGUAUCGAACAGGAUUAGAUACCCUGGUAGUCCACGCAGUAAACGAUGAAUACUAACUGUUUGCGAUACAAUGUAAGCUGGUGCGAAAGCUAUAAAAGUGUUGCUCAAAAAAUAAUAGGCAGCAAUUUAAAGAAGAAAAGAAGAAAGGAUGGAUACAUAUGGGUAACAAUGACAGCAGUGUAGAAACAUUUUUGCAGUGGAUAAAGGCUUCGGACAAUAUUGUAUUUUUCGGCGGAGCAGGUGUAUCAACCGAGAGUGGCAUACCUG
rnacentral:rRNA from 1 species